rnacentral:piRNA from 1 species
GUUGGUCAUAGGGCUCAAAGAGGAAGUAU